UUGAUUAGACUGCAUGGUGGAUGACUGAUUGGAAUUGAGCAUUGCAUUCACUUAGUUUGCAUUUUUGAAGACCGAAUUAGCCUUCUCUUAGUUGGGUGAUUCGUGUUGGAUUUGGAUUAGAGUAGUGUGUACUUGUCGUUAAUUUGUGAUUGGAAGCAUGAUAAUUGAGUUAAUGACCAACCAUUUCCAUUCUGUCUUUGAAACCAUUUUUAGAUCUGUGUUUAAUUAUCUGUUUGCAUCAGUGUUUUGAUUUAAUUCAUCAGCAUUCACAAUCCUUUCAACAACCCCCCCACUUCAUGUUAGACCUAAUUCUCGAACCGCAAAAUUGGUCCUUGAGAGACGACCUAGGAGUCACUUCCUAGUACUAUACUGCAUUCUUUUAUGCACAUUAAAUUUUGCAUGGGGUGUGACACCCAUCACAAAGGAAUCUUGGAUGCUACUUUAAAU
rnacentral:lncRNA from 1 species